CUUGGGGGGAUGGUCCCUCAGCCCGGAUUGCGAGAGGGCGCAGGCUAGGCCAAGGGACCCUACCAGUGCACA
rfam:Myotis brandtii contig285391, whole genome shotgun sequence.